UACGUAGGGACCAAGCGUUGUUCGGAUUUACUGGGCGUAAAGGGCGCGUAGGCGGCGUGGUAAGUCACUUGUGAAAUCUCUGAGCUUAACUCAGAACGGCCAAGUGAUACUGCUGUGCUAGAGUGCAGAAGGGGCAAUCGGAAUUCUUGGUGUAGCGGUGAAAUGCGUAGAUAUCAGGAGGAACACCUGAGGUGAAGACGGGUUGCUGGGCUGACACUGACGCUGAUGCGCGAAAGCGUGGGGAGCGAACAGG
rnacentral:rRNA from 1 species